rnacentral:misc_RNA from 1 species
GCUACCAAUGACAUAGAUUGUUGUAUCUUCUUCUAUAUUCGGACAGCAUAUUUUGAAAUGGACAAGAACAGAAUCAUCCAUAAUCUCAUCCAAAUUAUGAAUGAAAUUUCCUAGUGGUCUUUCUAUGGUCAAUGUUGAACUUCUUCCAAAGAUGACAUCUUUGAAGGCACUCUUGAAAGGAAUCGCAUCUGCACCAGUCUGCCAAAGAUCACAGAGCUCGACGAUCU